rnacentral:lncRNA from 1 species
UUGUAGUCGACACCCCACCCCAGUCGCCCCAAUUCCUCGGGUAGAUACACAAGACAUGACACAGGAGGGUGACAGCUCAGCAACCACACUCGGGCUUCUCCGGCAGCCGCCCGCCCCACCGUGCUCCUGUGCCGGGUUUUGUUACCCCGCGCUCUAUAAAAACGGAGCUUAUCGAGCGGGCACCCCCGGUGCGGGGUCAGCGACCGACCCCGGGCUCCAGGACCCCGUAACCCCGCAGGGCGCAGCGCUGGCCGCGCUCGGGGCCCGGUACAUCGCGGGGGGGGGGCCAGCGCUCCCCCGGCCCCUCCGCCAGCGCCCGCGCCCGCCCCCCGGAGACCCGCGGCGGGGAUGACAUCACCGCGCGGCGGCCGCGGCACCGCCGGCCCCUUUCCGCGGAGCCCGAUCCCCCGGCCCCGCGGCGGGGACCCCCCAGGCUCCCCCCAGCCCGGCUCACCGAAGGUGCGGCGCUGCUUGAAGGGCCGGUCCGAGGGCAUGGCGGCCAGGGCGGCGAGGCCGGGCCGGGGCGCGGGUGCCGGCUGAGCGGCUCCGGUGGCAGCACGGCCUGCGCUGGCGCUGCGGCGGAGCGGGCCGCUGACGUCACCGCGGCACGCCCGGCGGGGCGGGGCUUGGCCUCACGCCGGGGGCGGGAAGAGCCCGCCCCGGUCCCUGCCGCGCUCUGUCGGCGCGCGGAGCACCGGCAGCGCUCCGGUCCUACGGGUGUCACCGCGGCUGCUGCCCGCGGGACGCGGCGAGUCUUCCCGAGCUGACCCGAGCAGCAGCCGGCCUCCGCCUCGCUCCGCACCAGCCCCCGGCUGCGGCCGUCGGAGGUGCCUGAAGGAUGGAGGCGUCGAGACUCCAGCGCUUGGUGGCUGCUUCCUCUGGAGAUCCCGGCUCCAGCGUGGUCCCAGCGGCGCUGCUGCUCCCAGCGCAACCACCGGCACGACGAGGAAGGGUCCUCAUGGGGUGGCUGCCGAGAGCACAGGGCACGGGCCCAGUUCUGAGCUUCCACAGCGCACAAACCCAGACACAAACCGAUCCCAACGAGGUCAUCGGAUAGCUGCAGUUCCCAUGGCUGCCUCCAUCGUUUCCCAACCAACGAGUC